AUGGGACUGAGACACGGUCCAGACUCUACGGGAGGCAGCAGUGGGAUAUGACAUGGGGGAACUGAUCCAGCAUGCGCGUGUGUGAGAGCUUUGGUGUAAAGCACUUUAAGCGAGAGAGGCUACUGGUAUUAAUACUACCGGGAUAGUGGACGUUACUCGCAGAAUAAGCACCGGCUAACUCUGUGCCAGCAGCCGCGGUAAUACAGAGGGUGCGAGCGUUAAUCGGAUUUACUGGGCGUAAAGCGUGCGUAGGCGGCUUUUUAAGUCGGAUGUGAAAUCCCUGAGCUUAACUUAGGAAUUGCAUUCGAUACUGGGAGGCUAGAGUAUGGGAGAGGAUGGUAGAAUUCCAGGUGUAGCGGUGAAAUGCGUAGAGAUCUGGAGGAAUACCGAUGGCGAAGGCAGCCAUCUGGCCUAAUACUGACGCUGAGGUACGAAAGCAUGGGGAGCAAACAGGAUUAGAUACCCUGGUAGUCCAUGCCGUAAACGAUGUCUACUAGCCGUUGGGGCCUUUGAGGCUUUAGUGGCGCAGCUAACGCGAUAAGUAGACCGCCUGGGGAGUACGGUCGCAAGACUAAAACUCAAAUGAAUUGACGGGGGCCCGCACAAGCGGUGGAGCAUGUGGUUUAAUUCGAUGCAACGCGAAGAACCUUACCUGGUCUUGACAUACAGAGAACUUUCCAGAGAUGGAUUGGUGCCUUCGGGAACUCUGAUACAGGUGCUGCAUGGCUGUCGUCAGCUCGUGUCGUGAGAUGUUGGGUUAAGUCCCGCAACGAGCGCAACCCUUUUCCUUACUUGCCAUCGGGUCAUGCCGGGAACUUUAAGGAUACUGCCAGUGACAAACUGGAGGAAGGCGGGGACGACGUCAAGUCAUCAUGGCCCUUACGACCAGGGCUACACACGUGCUACAAUGGUCGGUACAAAGGGUUGCUACCUAGCGAUAGGAUGCUAAUCUCAAAAAGCCGAUCGUAGUCCGGAUUGGAGUCUGCAACUCGACUCCAUGAAGUCGGAAUCGCUAGUAAUCGCGGAUCAGAAUGCCGCGGUGAAUACGUUCCCGGGCCUUGUACACACCGCCCGUCACACCAUGGGACGAAGAGUUCUGAUCAUGGUCUACAGGUAUAUGAUCAGGCGCAUCCGCGAGCGCACGUAGACAAUUCCA
rnacentral:rRNA from 1 species